UUUUUUAGAGAGUGAAUUAAUAUUUGCGCCCCUAACCUCUUUGUGUGUACACAAACACAGAAGCUCUCUCUCACACAGAUCAAUCACCAGCAAACCUCACCUCAGAGCAUCUUCAGCACCGUCGGUCCCCAUUCGCUGCAAAUUAGCACCGCCACAGCGGCAAAUCAACAUCGCCAUUGCCGCAAACAGUAGCAGCUGGGGUAGGGGUGGGAACAGAGGCUGGAAAGUGUGGGCUCAUAGAAGUGUUUGGGAGUGCCUAUGAGAGCAUUUAUAUAUUAUAUAAUAUAUUAAUACAUUGCAAGAAAUCUUUUUUUUUUUUUACUUGUAAUAUAUCUGAAUAUGAAAAAUAGUGCUGACCGAUGUCAACUGUAAAUUGUUUAUUGUAAAUAUAAACAAAUAUAAUGUAAAUACAUAGUAUUAGAAUCAAUUUGGAUUACAUUUUCCCAUCAUAGUUGGGAACACA